UGGGGAAUUUUGGACAAUGGGCGAAAGCCUGAUCCAGCAAUGCCGCGUGUGUGAAGAAGGCCUUCGGGUUGUAAAGCACUUUUGUCCGGAAAGAAAUCCUUGGCUCUAAUACAGUCGGGGGAUGACGGUACCGGAAGAAUAAGCACCGGCUAACUACGUGCCAGCAGCCGCGGUAAUACGUAGGGUGCAAGCGUUAAUCGGAAUUACUGGGCGUAAAGCGUGCGCAGGCGGUUUGCUAAGACCGAUGUGAAAUCCCGGGCUCAACCUGGGAACUGCAUUGGUGACUGGGCAGGCUAGAGUAUGGCAGAGGGGGUAGAAUUCCACGUGUAGCAGUGAAAUGCGUAGAGAUGUGGAGGAAUACGAUGGCGAAGGCAGCCCCCUGGGCCAAUACUGACGCUCAUGCACGAAAAGCGUGGGGAGCAAAACAGGAUUAGAUACCCUGGUAGUCCACGCCCUAAACGAUGUCAACUAGUUGUUGGGGAUUCAUUCCUUAGUAACGUAGCUAACGCGUGAAGUUGACCGCCUGGGGAGUACGGUCGCAAG
rnacentral:rRNA from 1 species